rnacentral:lncRNA from 10 species
UUUAUUGACUUUUUUUGUUUUGUGUAUCUUUUGUUCCUUAAUUUCUCUCUUACUAUUUUUGCAGUUGAGUGGUUUUCUCUAGUGAUAAGGUAUUAUUCCUUUCUAUUUCUUCUUUGGGUAUUGGCUCUACCAAUGAGUUUUAUAUUUUUGUAUCUUUCCAUGAUGGUGGUUCUUGUCUUUCACUUCCAGAUGUAAGACUCCCAUGAACAUUUCUUAUAAGGCUCAUCUAGUGGUGAUGAGUUCCCUCAAUUUUUGCUUGUCUGUGAAAGAUUGUAUUUCUUUUUCAUUUCUGAAUGAUAGCUUUGCUGGGUAUGAAGUUUUUGGCUGGCAGGCUUUUUUUUUUUUUCUUUCAAAUCCUUAAAUCAUUCUCUCCUGGCCCAUAAAGUUUCUGCUGAGAAAUUCACUGUUAGUCUUAUAGAGAUUCCCUUACAUAUGACCCAACACUUCUCUCUUGCUGUUUUUAGAAUUCUGUAUUUAUCUUUGACUUUUGAUAAUUUGACAUAAUGUGCCUUGGAGAGGACCUGUUUGAAUCUAAUGUAUUUGGGGUUCUUUGAGCUUCCUAGAUCUGGAUGUCCAUCUUUCUCCCAAGACUUGGAAUGUUUCAUUAAAUAUGUUUUUUUAAUAUAACUUUUCCCUUUUCUUCUGCUUCUGGAAUGCUUGUAAUGCAAAUAUUUGUUUGCUUAGUGAUGGCUCAUAAACCCUGUAAACUUUCUAUUCUUUCUUUCUUCUUCUUUUUUUUUUUUCUGUCUGCCUAUAUUAUUUCAAAAGACCUGUCUUCAAGUUCAGGGAUUUUUUUUUUUUUCCUUUGGCUCAGUCCAUUCUAUUGUCAGAACUCUCAAUUGUAUUUUUUAUUUUAUUCAUUGAAUUCUUUAGCUUUAGAAUUUCUAUUUGGUUCUUUUUUAAAUGAUAUAUAUCUGUUGAAUUUCUCAUUCAAAUUAUGAACUGUUUUCCUGAUUUCAUUGAAUUGUAUAUCUGUAUUCUCUUGUAUCUCACUGAGUUCUAUUAGAAUUAUUAUUUUGAAUUCUUUUUCUGGCCUUUUUAAUAUUUCCUUAGUAUUGGGGUCUGUUAUUGGAGAACUAUUGUGUUCUUUGGGAAGAGACAUGUUUUCUUGCUUUUCCUUACAAUGAUUUCUAUGCAAGUCAGUGAAACAUUUGCCUCUUCCAAUUCUAUGCAGUAGGUUUAGUAGGCAAUGACUUAUUUGCAUAGAUGGUCUUGGAGUGUUGGUUCAAUGGGGUGCACUGGCUUUGGUUCUAGGUGGAUGCAGUAGUGCAGUGUCCAUGUAGUUUCUUCAGCUGUAAUCCAUGUUAGUGAUGUUUGCAUGUGUCUCAGUGGCAUAGGCUAAGAGAGUUUGUGGCAGUGGUGGUGCAGCUCUGCUGGAAGUGGGCUUUCAGGUUAUUUCAGGUUAUUUCUCAGGUCAGUGUGCCUACAUGCCCAUGGUGGGUUGGCCAACUUGGGGUCUCACUCAUCAGGGUUGGGACCACAGAGCUUUUACUUUAACUAAGGGCGUCAGUGUGCUGUUUCAUGGCUAGCCUGAAGGCCGAUCAUCCAGGGGUGGCCCAUUGUGCUGUUUCUUGAGUCCAGUACACUGGUUGCUUUGCUGGCCUGGGGGUGUGUGUCUCCUGGGGAUGGUCCUUGGGGCUGUUUUUUAGUUCUGAGUAGUGAGUAAAGGUUAUUUGGGCUGGCCUGGGGGGUGUCUCCUUAGGGUGGACCACAGGGCUAUUUCUCAGGCCCAGGAUGGGGUGCAUAGCUGCUCAGCUGGCCUGGGUGUGUGUCUGGUGGGGGUGGACCAUGGGGCUGUUUCUCAGGCCUAGGAUGUGAGGGGACACACAGUUGCUUGGCCGGCCUGGAGGUGUGUCUGCCAGGAGCAGCCUGCAAGGCUAUUUCUUAGGCCCUGGACAUGGGCACAUAGCAGCUUGAUCAGCCUGGGAGCAUGCCAGACAGGAGUGGCCUGUGGGGCUGUUUCCCUGGCCCAAGCUGCUCAGUUGGCCUGGGGGCUUGACUGCCAGGAAUGGCUCAUUGGGCUGUUUUCUAAGCCUGAGACAUGGUCACACAGCUGCUUGUUCUGCCUGGGUAUGCGCCUGCCAUGGGCAGUCAACAGGGCUAUUUCUGAGGUCCUGAUUU